rnacentral:rRNA from 1 species
AUUGAACGCUAGCGGGAUGCCUUACACAUGCAAGUCGAACGAGUGGCGAACGGGUGAGUAAUGUAUCGGAACGUGCCCAGUAGCGGGGGAUAACUACGCGAAAGGGAGCUAAUACCGCAUAUUUUUGGGGCGGCCGUUACGGGAUUAGCUGGUUGGUGGGGUAACGGCUCACCAAGGCGACGGUCCGUAGCUGGGUUGAGAGGACGACCAGCCACACUGGGACGGGGACACGGCCCAGAGUCCUACGGGAGGCAGCAGUGGGGAAUUUUGGACAAUGGGGGAAACCCUGGUCCAGCCAUCCCGGGUGUGCGAUGAAGGCCUUCGGGUUGUAAAGCACUUUUGGCAGGAAAGCGGUACCUGCAGAAUAAGCACCGGCUAACUACGUGCCAGCAGCCGCGGUAAUAC